CUGGAGUCUUGCUGAAAGGGAGGGGAAUUCAGCUGUGUCUCCUGGCAAAGGGCCAGAGAAGGGCUGUGUGCAAGUCUUCUGCUCCUUCAGAGGGAGGCAGGCUCUGCAGGGUGGGCAGGGGAGUAUCCAAUGAAGGAGAAGCUGAAGCUCAGUAGUAGGCACUUGAAAUGCAGAGUCAUGACUCGUGGGGAGUAGUUAUGCAAACAUACCAGCAGAGAGAGAACCUCUUUUCCUGGUUGGAAAGGAAGUGGAUUUGGCAAAUUGGAAGUCUUGACUUAAUUCAGUGUCCUGGCAAAGUGCAACAAGGUGCAUGGAUAACCGGAUGGUUCAUUGUAUGAGCAAGGCUGCAGCUGCACUGUUGAAGUAAUACAGUUUGGCCCCACUUGUAACUGCAUGGCUCAAUGGUAUGGAUUCAUGGGAGUUGCAGUCUUCCUUUAGUACAGCUAAGUUCAUGCACAUGGUCCCUCCUGUGACCACUUCUCCUGAGGGUGUGCAGACUUUUCUGGCCUCCGUGACAGUACCUUCAUCCUGAACCAGCUGAAGAGCCCAGAGGAGUUGUAGCCUCUUCUACUUUCUUCUUUUGAAGCCUACCAUCUUUGAUCUCCUCAUCCAGAGUUUGCCUAUGAAGGUCCAGUGCAUCUCGGAGAAUUUUUUUUUAAAAAAAAUCCUUCUGCCCGAUGCCCCCACCUGCCCUCCUUCUUGAUCUGCUUCAAAGGAAGGUGUGAAGAUGGCAAGGGAGCAUUUCCUGGGACUGACAUGUCUGUGCGGAGUUGCUGUCAGGAAGGAAGGAGAGAGAGACAGACAGAUCUGGGAAAAACAUUGGAGCAUCGGUUCUUGGGAACAGACUGUCCAUAGGAACACCCAUCGCUCCACGUCACUGAAACAAAAUGACAUGAGUGAAUUUGACAGAUUGCAUCCCAUGUGUUUUGAAGCAUGUCCUCCCAUGUCCAUGUGCAUCAAGAGCUCAGAAGACGAUUUCUUCCCGGUUCCUCUUUCCUCAGUUUAUCUACAUUUCUAA
rnacentral:lncRNA from 11 species